CGCGUAGGCGGUUUGACAAGUCUGAUGUGAAAUCUCUGGGCUCAACCCAGAGUCUGCAUUAGAAACUGUCGGGCUUGAGUAUGGGAGAGGUGAGUGGAAUUUCCGGUGUAGCGGUGAAAUGCGUAGAUAUCGGAAGGAACACCUGUGGCGAAAGCGGCUCACUGGACCAUAACUGACGCUGAGGCGCGAAAGCUAGGGAGCAAACA
rnacentral:rRNA from 1 species